GAUGAACGCUAGCUACAGGCUUAACACAUGCAAGUCGCAGGGUAACAUGAGGAAAGCUUGCUUUCCUUGAUGACGACUGGCGCACGGGUGAGUAACGCGUAUCCAACCUUCCCAUAACUACGGGAUAACCCGUUGAAAGACGGCCUAAUACCGUAUGAUAUCGUUUGCUGACAUCAAAUAACGAUUAAAGGUUUAUCGGUUAUGGAUGGGGAUGCGUCUGAUUAGCUUGUUGGCGGGGUAACGGCCCACCAAGGCGACGAUCAGUAGGGGUUCUGAGAGGAAGGUCCCCCACAUUGGAACUGAGACACGGUCCAAACUCCUACGGGAGGCAGCAGUGAGGAAUAUUGGUCAAUGGGCGAGAGCCUGAACCAGCCAAGUAGCGUGCAAGAUGACGGCCCUAUGGGUUGUAAACUGCUUUUAUGUGGGGAUAAAGUGCGUGACGUGUCAUGCAUUGCAGGUACCACAUGAAUAAGGACCGGCUAAUUCCGUG
rnacentral:rRNA from 1 species